rnacentral:tRNA from 1 species
GCGCCCAUAGGCUAAUGGAUAGACCGUGGCCCUCCGAAGGCUGAGAUGCAGGUUCGACUCCUGCUGGGCGCGCCA